rnacentral:rRNA from 1 species
AGCGAACGCUGGCGGCAGGCCCUAAAACAUGCAAGUCGAACGCCGUAGCAAUACGGAGUGACAGACGGGUGAGUAACACGUGGGAACGUACCCUUUGGUUCGGAACAACACAGGGAAACUUGUGCUAAUACCGGAUAAGCCCUUACGGGGAAAGAUUUAUCGCCAGAGGAUCGGCCCGCGUCUGAUUAGCUUGUUGGUGAGGUAACGGCUCACCAAGGCUACGAUCAGUAGCUGGUCUGAGAGGAUGAUCAGCCACACUGGGACUGAGACACGGCCCAGACUCCUACGGGAGGCAGCAGUUAGGAAUCUUGGACAAUGGGCGCAAGCCUGAUCCAGCCAUGCCGCGUGAGUGAUGAAGGCCUUAGGGUUGUAAAGCUCUUUCAGCGGGGAAGAUAAUGACGGUACCCGCAGAAGAAGCCCCGGCUAACUUCGUG